AUUAAUACUAUUUUCGUAAUCCAACCCGAUCGACCCCUCGAAAUUUUUAGCGUUCUCCGACACCACCAACUGUACUCCCUCCGAUGGCGGCGCGUCGAGCUCGCCGGCGGUGACAGUACGGCGACACGAGACGCAGUGUAAAUCCCACAUUGAUUCGCCGCCGAUGACUCUUCACCGUCGCCCUAACCGUGGCCCGACGUCCUCCUUCCCAGCCGCCGCCGCCGCCGCCGCCGCCAGUUUCUCCCCCUGCUCCCUCCUAUUCCUCUUCUGCUGCUUCUCAUCCCUCCUCCGAUCCUCUGAAGCCCUCGUCCACCUCCGCUCCAAGCCCUUCUCCUUCACCUUCCUCGACGCCCCUGCACGUUUCGCUGUUCCGGUCGAUGGAUUCGGGAUCUGCGGCUCUCUGCACGUUGCGGAACCCCUCGACGCUUGCUCUGGUCUCAGGAAUAACUGGACGGCCCUCGGCGACGGUAGGGGUGGAGAUUCGAGGUUCGUUCUGAUCUCCAGGGGGGUGUGCAGCUUCGAGGAGAAGGUCAGGAACGCACAGGGUGCUGGAUUUGGGGCUGCCAUAAUAUUCGAUGACCAGGAGAAGAACAGCUUGUACGCCAUGGUUGGAGAUUCAGCUGGCAUACAUAUACAUGCAGUUUUUGUUUCAAAGAUCGCAGGUGACACUCUGAUGAAGCAUGCCCGUGGGGAAGAAGGGGAAUGUUGCAUAGGAUCCUCCAUGGAUGAAGCUACUGGAACCAUCCUGGUUAUAUCUUUUGCAUCUCUGGUAUUCAUAAUAAUAGUACUUGCUGCAUUUAUGUUGGCUAGAAACUGUCAGCUUCUUCGGCAUCGAAUACAAAACCCACCUGCAAGCAUGAAACAAGAAGCAGUCGAGCUACUUCCCUGCCUCACAUUUAGAACUGCAUUCUUAAGUAGCAAACGAACAGCCGAGACCUGUGCUAUUUGCCUUGAAGAUUACAAAGAUGGAGAGUCUCUGAGAGUUCUUCCUUGUCAACACGAUUAAUGAAUUGACCUAGGUCGGUCUUACCAAUUGACUUGGCUGGGUCAAUGUCAGAGUCGGUAUGCAGUUCGACCAAUUGAUCCUUGUUCUGACCACUGAACCGACUUCCAUUUGGUGUGUGUGGAUUCAUGGUUAACCAAGUGGGGAACAUUUUGCCCAGUCUGUAAACAUGAUAUGCGCUCAUGAUAAUGGUUUUCCACUCGAGUAAAAAUAACUUUCCGUGUGUAUAUCAAGACUAUAAGCGGAUAAGGUUUGUGAUCCUAAAGAUGAUGCUGGUUAAACCGUCUCAGGCCUCUUACUGUAAAGGAGAGCAGCAGAGGCACAGAGUUGACACCUGAUUGUUCACCUAACUUACUAAGUUAAGUGGGCAAAUGUUUUCGCCAUGGAGUUGAGCAUCUCGCAUCCAGUUGUUGUUUGUGUGAAUUACUGGAAGGAUGAGGAAUAAUGCGGAUAUUGUUCUCUUUGCAACCUGUUUUUUUUUUUUUUUUUUGCUUGUAAUGACUUCGUAGACGCUGGAUUGGAAAUAUAUUCUUUGAUGAAACAAAGGCAAGCAGUUGAGACCUCUUA